CAGAGAGGGAAAAACCCAGCAUACGUGUUGCAACACGGAUUACCCAGAGGAUCUACGCUAUCUUCCAACAACCCCUGAAGACCAUUCAUACAACAAUCAUUAAUACUGAAAAACUGCAGAGAAAAUCCCUCACGUGAGAAGUUAACAACCAUUACCCGGCGUGAGCACGCUUUCCCUUUCCUUUUGUAGUACCACAGGUCUAAACAAUAGUAAUAUGAAUGAGAUAAUAGCCAUGCUUGUCUCAGCAGCCUGAUUUUUAUUAGCAUGAAAUUGGUACAAAUAUUAGCAAAGCUGGUUCGCAAGCGGUGCCAGAGCCACGAUGCAAACAAUUUGCAGAAAACAAAAAGCGACUCGGCGGGCUCGCACCUCUCUCUGUUGCUGCCCAGAACAGCAGCCACGUUUCCUUUUUUUGGAAGGUUUGUUGGUUUGUUCUGGGGUUGUUUUUUUUUUCUUUUUUUUUUUUGCCACUUGUGCAAGCGCGAGGAGAAGCCACAGCACCCGGCGAGCAGCGGGGACGGUGACGCGCAGCUGCUCCCGCUCCGGGGGGACGUCGCAAGGGGACGGGCGCCCCGAAAGAGGACUUGGUCCUCGCCGCUGUUCUCCGAAGCCAUGCCAGAAAACCCACCCUCAUUGUCAACACCGCAGGAAACAACCUGAACCAGCUUCUUUUGCUUUAAACCCAAGCAAUUCCCCUCUCCUGCGCUGCCAAGCUGCCCGCGCGAGGCAGCAAGUUAAAAGUUCAGCCCUGCCUGCACGCUCCUGUCCUCUGAGCGCUCGCAGAGAAAAUGAAGAGUUUAACAGAGUAAGCUCUUACUGUCUGCCUUUAGAUUUCCGUCUUCGCGCUGGAGAUGUGUUUCUGGCUGUUUCUGUGAAGCGGGGGCUGAAGAAUGGUAAAAAGAUGUUUGAAUAAACAGGAAGUGCUGUGCAGCCGGAGCGCAGGCUGGAGGGAGACGGCGCUGGAGCACUGCCCUUCGCCGGCAGCCACCGGGUCUCUGCCUCCACAGUAGCAACCUCUGCUUUUACUAAACGACAAAGAAACCGCAAAGCGUUCCUUCCCUAAUUCUUCCCUCGCCAAGCGGCAAGAUCGGCUGGAGCUCGCAGAGCUUCCAGUACAUUUGCUACACACUGUGAAGAUACAGACUGGCUGCGAUGCGCUUUUUCAAAGGCACGGCUUGGUUUCGCGCACGGCACAAAUUCAGCAGCUCUUCCUCAGGCAAAACUCCUCCUGACCGAUAAUUGCAGCAUUUGGGGUCACUGAGAAUCAGGCUUGCUUUCUAAGAAUCAUGAGCCUUUGAGGGAAGGUGGGGCAAGGAGAGGAGCAGGCACCGCUGGGUUUGCGGAGGAGAUGGAGACGCGGGCUGGGGAGCCCGAGGGGCAUCGCCCUCGAACGAUGCACGUACCAACAACCUGCCCUCCCCGGCCCUGACUUUUGGAAAGCUUCUGGUGACAAAAGACCCGAACUCCAAACCCAGAGGCACCGUCCCUGCAUCCCAACCUGGCAGCGGGACCACCGAGCUCAGCGCCAACACGCUCCUGAUUUUUGGGGAUGGCCUUCGCUGGGAGCUCGCCCUGCCUUCAGGUGACGCACGGUGAACAUCUCGGACCACCCCCGCUCUGCGGCUGUCAUAUAAAUCCAAGCCUUUUGGUAAAGGGUGUUGGGUUUAACUUCCCAAGUCUGUCCUCCUCCCAAGGGGAUGGCAAAAUUCAGAGAACAAAGUACACUCGUCUCCAUCCUCCAAAAUAACACCCUGAAAAAUACUCUAACUUUUAUAACUCAUCCUGUUUGUGAGCAGUAAUUAAAAUACUCUUUUCAUCACAAUAAUAGCUCUGUAAGGCCAAGAUCCAAACUGCUUUUGACUGCACAGCUACCACAAUUAUUUUCGGAAGUAUGGGGUGGAGUUAACUCCAGUAUCUCAGCUAUCACUAUGGUGCAACUGUUGACAAAUGCUGACUUUUCUAAAUGGCAGAUGCUGCGUAUGUACCAUCCACCCUUUAUUUAUUGUGCCCAACAGAGGUUUAUCCUUGCAAAAAGAGAUCUUUCAAUAAAAAUCUGAACACAGUGCUUUGGAACCUGCAUUACAUGUUGCUUAUUUAUCGCUAUCAGUAUGAAAUAGUAUAAGACUUAAAAUGUAGGAUCAAUCAUUAU